CUCGCACCUCUCCACCAUCACCUGCGCCGCUCUCUCUCCGCCGUCGCCCCUCCGCCCCACGAGCCGCCCCCUCCCCAUCCCGCCCCACCGCCACAGCCGGCCUCCAACAAGCACAAGCUCUUCGUCGCCGGGCUCUCGUGGUCCGCGGACGAGCGGUCGCUGACGGACGCCUUCUCCUCCUUCGGCACCGUCACCGAAGAUGGUGCGCGUGGUAGGUGCUCGACGAAACGGCUCCCAGGUCCUGGACGACCUGGUUCCGCCCAGCCUCGCGAACUGUUCGACAGAAUGCCUGUUAGGGACGUGGUUGCCUUCUCGGCGGCAAUCUACCGGAAUGCGAGGGCCGGGUCGUUCGAUGAGGCCGUUGGGCUGUUUGUCGGCAUGGUGAGGGCAGGAGUGUGCCCAAACUCGUUCACCUUGGUCAGUGCAUCGCUCGCUGCGGCCGGGCUGGGUGACGCCGUGCUCACCGAGUGCAUCCAUGGGUGGGUUGUCAAGCUUCGGUUGGACUCCAAUCCUUUUGUCCGAACCGCGUUGCUUGAUUCAUAUGCGAAAUGCGGCUGCCCCAUCAAGGCACGUGCUUUGUUUGGUGAAAUGAGGGAUCCAGGUAUAGUUACCUGGAAUGCGAUGAUCUCCGGGUUAGUGCACAAUGAUUUGUUCGAGGAGGCAGUGCUGGUGUUUAAAAGGUUGCUUCAUUCGUUGGGGCCAAUUGAUAAUGUUGUGACUAUGAUAAGCACUGCUCAAGCUUGUGCUGGUUGUGGUGAUGUUGGACUGUGUGGGACUGCACAUGCUUACGCAGUUAAGAUGGGGCUUGAUUUGGAUGUAUCAGUGACAAACUCGAUACUGGGCAUGUACUUGAGUUUUGUUAGCCUUGAGAUUGGAAGAGAGAUUUUCAGGAAGGUUCCUGUCAACAAUGUUGUUAGUUGGACGAUGAUGAUGGGUUUCCUUCUUGAAAAAGGGCAUGCUGGUGAGGUUAUAUGUAUGUUUGUCAAGAUGAGGUCAAAUGGUAUAGUCCCUGACAUGGUAUCAAUGGUUGGUUUGGUGCAAGCUUGUGCACUUAUGGGUGAUGGAAGCAGAGGAAAGUUGGUUCAUAACCAGAUUGUGAUCCGUGGGUUUAGUAGAGAGCUUCCUGUAGUGAAUUCAUUAAUCACAAUGUAUUCCAAAUGUAAGGAUUUAAGCUCUGCAAGGAAGUUGUUUGAUGGAAGAAGGGAUAAGAGCUUGGUCUCAUGGACUGCAAUGGUGGCGGCGUGUGUAGAAAAUGGAGAUGUGCUAGAAGGAUUGGAUCUCUUUGCUAAGAUGAGGCAUGGAGGCUUGUUUGCGAUUGAUUAUGUAACGUUAGUCACCUUAUUGCUCGCCUGUUAUGUGAUUGCUAAGUUUGAUCUGUGUGUUCAGCUUCAUGGGUAUAGCUACAAGUCAGGUUUGUCUUUGUACAGACCUGUUCUUAACACCCUUAUGGCAGUUUAUGGUAAGUGUGGAUAUGUGGCUCUAGCCCAAAAAUUGUUUGAUGAGAUGAUUUGUCGAGACACUGUCUCGUGGAAUACUAUGAUAUUAUCCUUUGGUAUAAAUGGCCAAGGAGAGGAAGCAAUAACACUUUUUAAUGAGAUGGAGAAAUCUAGCGAGGGCCGAGACAGUGUAACAUACUUGAACACAUUGCUAGCAUGCAGCCAUUCUGGCCUGGUGGAUGAUGGGUUGAUCAUCUUUAGAAGAAUGAUAAACGAUAAGGGCAUAAAUCCAUGUCAGGAGCACAUUGGAUGCAUAGUGGAUAUGUUAGCAAGAGCUGGCCGCUUGGACGAAGCAGCAGGAGUGGCUAGCUUGACUGACAAUAAAUUGGGACUAAAUGCUUGGAAAGCCCUUAUGGGAGGGGGUCAUUUGCACAGUGACAUGAAGUUCACUAAUGUUGCUGCGGAGAAGGUGCUUACAGUGGAAUCAUUUGAUUAUGGACACGUGUUGUUACUUUCUAACACUUAUGCAUCACUUGGGAAAUUCAGUGCUGCUGAAUCUGUCAGAUCCUGUUAUACAAAACAGAUCGCAAAGAAAACUCUGGGGCUUAGUUCAAUUUAG
rnacentral:rRNA from 1 species